AUUGAACGCUGGCGGCAGGCUUAACACAUGUAAGUCGAGCGGGGUGAUGGUGCUUGCACUAUCACUUAGCGGCGGACGGGUGAGUAAUGCUUAGGAAUCUGCCUAUUAGUGGGGGACAACAUCUCGAAAGGGAUGCUAAUACCGCAUACGUCCUACGGGAGAAAGCAGGGGAUCACUUGUGACCUUGCGCUAAUAGAUGAGCCUAAGUCGGAUUAGCUAGUUGGUGGGGUAAAGGCCUACCAAGGCGACGAUCUGUAGCGGGUCUGAGAGGAUGAUCCGCCACACUGGGACAGAGACACGGCCCAGACUCCUACGGGAGGCAGCAGUGGGGAAUAUUGGACAAUGGGGGGAACCCUGAUCCAGCCAUGCCGCGUGUGUGAAGAAGGCCUUAUGGUUGUAAAGCACUUUAAGCGAGGAGGAGGCUCUUUUGGUUAAUACCCAAGAUGAGUGGACGUUACUCGCAGAAUAAGCACCGGCUAACUCUGUGCCAGCCGCCGCGGUAA
rnacentral:rRNA from 1 species